rnacentral:pre_miRNA from 1 species
GGGCAAAUACCCUGAAACUAGUCUGUAGAUGCCAGACCAGCAAGAACAGACUAGUUUCAGGGUAUUUGCCCC